AUUGAACGCUGGCGGCAGGCCUAACACAUACAAGUCGAGCGGAUGAAGGGAGCUUGCUCCUGGAUUCAGCGGCGGACGGGUGAGUAAUGCCUAGGAAUCUGCCUGGUAGUGGGGGAUAACGUCCGGAAACGGGCGCUAAUACCGCAUACGUCCUGAGGGAGAAAGUGGGGGAUCUUCGGACCUCACGCUAUCAGAUGAGCCUAGGUCGGAUUAGCUAGUUGGUGGGGUAAAGGCCUACCAAGGCGACGAUCCGUAACUGGUCUGAGAGGAUGAUCAGUCACACUGGAACUGAGACAUGGUCCAGACUCCUACGGGAGGCAGCAGUGGGGAAUAUUGGACAAUGGGCGAAAGCCUGAUCCAGCCAUGCCGCGUGUGUGAAGAAGGUCUUCGGAUUGUAAAGCACUUUAAGUUGGGAGGAAGGGCAGUAAGUUAAUACCUUGCUGUUUUGACGUUACCAACAGAAUAAGCACCGGCUAACUUCGUG
rnacentral:rRNA from 1 species